AUGGCCUCGAACUUGAACUCCGGUGUCAUCUCGGAAACUUGUGGUGACCUUCCUACCUCGAAGGACUCCGCCGUUGAUAGUAAGUUUCCUUAUGAUACUUUGUUGCUUAUUUUGUAUCCACGAGAUCCCAUCUUGGGGCCUGUUCCGGAGCUCCGUCGAAAGAGGGCCGUCAUCACGGAGGACUUCUACAUCAUCAUAGCCUCUCCGAUGAAGUGUACGAGGGACUUGAGCGUGGGCUCCUACUGGAUUGAUACAUUGAUUCUCAAAAACUGUGGGAAAUACUUACGCUACUCUGCUGCAUCAUCCCUUCCUCUUCGAGAAAAACCAACACAAACUCAAGACGUAGCAGUUAACAACUCAUCAAAAUUUCCUACGAAACUGCGUUGA
rnacentral:rRNA from 1 species